rnacentral:rRNA from 1 species
UACGUAGGUGGCAAGCGUUGUCCGGAUUUAUUGGGUUUAAAGGGUGCGUAGGCGGUUAUAUAAGUCAGUGCUGAAAUAUCCCAGCUUAACUGGGAGGGUGGCAUUGAUACUGUAUGACUUGAGUAGAGUUGAGGUUGGCGGAAUUGACGGUGUAGCGGUGAAAUGCUUAGAUAUCGUCAAGAACACCGAUAGUGAAGACAGCUAACUAAGCUCUAACUGACGCUGAGGCACGAAAGUGUGGGGAUCAAACAGG